AGUGAACGCUGGCGGUAGGCCUAACACAUGCCAGUCGAACGGCAGCACAGUAAGAGCUUGCUCUUACGGGUGGCGAGUGGCGGACGGGUGAGGAAUACAUCGGAAUCUACUUUUUCGUGGGGGAUAACGUAGGGAAACUUACGCUAAUACCGCAUACGACCUACGGGUGAAAGCAGGAGAUCUUCGGACCUUGCGCGAUUGAAUGAGCCGAUGUCGGAUUAGCUAGUUGGCGGGGUAAAGGCCCACCAAGGCGACGAUCCGUAGCUGGUCUGAGAGGAUGAUCAGCCACACUGGAACUGAGACACGGUCCAGACUCCUACGGGAGGCAGCAGUGGGGAAUAUUGGACAAUGGGCGCAAGCCUGAUCCAGCCAUACCGCGUGGGUGAAGAAGGCCUUCGGGUUGUAAAGCCCUUUUGUUGGGAAAGAAAAGCAGCAGGUUAAUACCCCGCUGUUCUGACGGUACCCAAGGAAUAAGCACCGGCUAACUUCGUG
rnacentral:rRNA from 1 species